GAACGUGCAGGAUAGCUGGGGUUGGUGUAGCUGUUUGAAGGCUGAUAGAGCACGGCGACCUGAUUGGCCGGGAGGCAAGACGGGAGAAGCCAGAUAAGAGCGAGACUCCCCUCUUGUCAUCAGCGUAUGCAAAUGAGCGAGGGCCAUUAAAGCGGGGAGGCCUAGGGACCUGGAGAGCCCGAGAGUUCUGGAGAAGGUCUGCAGGACCUGGAGCAGGACGGAGACGCUGAGCCUGCAGGACCAGGGCGAGGUGUUAAACUAGAGUCAUUAGAGCUGUUCCUAUUUACACCUUCAUCACCUGCACCUCAGGAGGAGACAGGAGAGGUGACCUCACACACAGAUUGUUUUAUUGUUUUUUACUGAUGACUCUGAAGAUGUUCUGGAGCUGCUGGAUCAGUAUUAUUGUGCUCUGGACAGGAUAUCAUCAUAUACUAGCUCGAUGUGCUACAGAACAGAAGGCAAGACGACGGGAGUCAGCACAAACACGGUUCCAGCAACGUGAAAUUCCAGCGCUCAGAGGGAACAAAAGCGGAGCGACGUAAAGUUUUCACCCAUUUUACUGACAUUCAAAGUUGCUCUAUCUGCAGUGAAGGUCAUCUUUAAUACAGUGUUAUACCAAGAGACUAGACAGAGAAUGUGCGGUAGAAUAAGAAUAAAAAAAUGUUGCAAACACACCUGCAACAGGCCAUAUAUCAUGGGAUAUUGAGUUAUUAUUUUAGGACAGGUUGGGAACAAAAACACCUGUGUUAGUUUAACAGGAACUAGAAUUUAAUCCAGAAUGAUUAACAAAUAUUUAGAUCAUUUUAUAACAACCAAAAAAGUAAUUUAAUUCACUGAGAAUUAAGUAUUUUUAACACAUAUUUGAAAUAAAUUAAAAUUUGAGGCAUAUUUGUAUAUGUCGUCAUAAUUAUAGACAUAUAGUACAAAUAUAAAUCACUUGGUAAUAGAUGGGGGGCUCAUUUCCAAUAACUUAAUGGGACUGAAAAAAGGGACUUUUUUAUUAAAAUUAAAAUUAAUUAUUUAAUCAGGUGAGCUAAAGUAAGGAGCAUCAUAAAAAAAAACAAUGAAAAUUAAAUGAUAAGAACAAUAGAAUAACAAACAAACAAUACAAUAUUUUAUUAAGAAGAAAUA